GUCAUAGUCAUUGUCCAUGUUAUGUUUCAUUGUUAGAUUAGUGCAUUUAGUCCACACUGGUUUUCUGCUCCCAGUUCCUAAUCAUAGUUUAUGUUUCUUGUUUUGUUCUCGACCCUGUUUUCCGUGACCACGACCUUGAUUCCUGCUUUGCCCCGUUUAUCCCUGUUUGCUGAUCGCCUGACCUUUGCAUGUUUGUGGAUUACGUUUUUGGAUCACGAUUUGGAUUUACCUGCCUGUGUCUCUCUUUAAUAAGACUGUUAAACUGCAUUUGCAUCCAUCCUAUCUCCCUUACGUCUGGGGACGUGACACUUUUGACCAAAAAUGUUUGAUUUUGCUGCAGCUUCUUUUCAAAAUUUGCAAUGAAAUUUGCAGAGGUUUUUUUUUUUUUUUUGCUUUGCUUUUUUCUGGAAAAUUACUCGAAUUGGUGCAAUUGCAUGAAAUUGUUUUCAUGGUCUUUCACAGUGAUGUUUACUCAUGUUUGAUGCUCGUGGAUCAAAGGGAGCUUUGGUUGAAUGUGCAUUGUGACGAUGUCACAAGAUGCAUCUUGGCCCAAAUCUGCAGAAAAUUUAUAAAAAUGGCUGGCUCCUGUGAAUAUUGUGGAGUUUGCCUGAUUUUGUGUUAAUUUCUGCAGCUGCAAAAUACUAAAGGGACUUAUUUAGAGCUACACGUGUUAAACUACUUAGAACAUGGCAACUCUGAUGGCAGACCACGCAAUUUUUAGCUUUUCCAGGCUACAUCCCACAUCAAGGGCAGGAUGGCAAGUUAUUUGUUCUGCUAAACCCCAAUGGAGACAGUGGACAUGACCAAUGCCCAAAUUGUUUGGGGCAUCUGCAAAAGGCAGUGCAGCAUAAUGCAAAUGUGCCUCACAGGCCAUUUUAAAAACUGUUGUCUAUUCAUCACCUUCCUCUGUUGCUGUAUGGCCAUGAAGAAAACUGUAAUGAACAGCAGAUUCCAGGCCUGAGGAAGAGGAAGGAGUGCCUUUAGUUCAUUGAAAUGCAGAUUAUAGGAGAUAUAUAGAAUUAUUGCAGAGAUUUAUGGAGCCUACAUAUAGAGCUGAUUCACAUGUAGAGACAGAACCUGAUAUGCUAUCAGUGGCUGUCUCUCAUUCUUUGAAAUUCAGUCCCACUUUAGCAGAGAGUGGUGGUAGCACAACAUCAAAGCAGACUAAAGAUCAUUUUGGAAAAAGCAGGAGCACUGCACAGCAUUGGCAUUGAAUGUGCUACAGGCUAUUAGACUACUCUGGCAAAAUUCCACAGGUGGUGGCAAAUCACUGGGGAUUUUAAUGCAGAUGAGGAGACAAGUUUGUCUUUAAAAUACACUGUUCAGCUGGCACUGGUACCUCUACAGGUUUUUAGCGCACAGGCCCAGGAAGCAUUAAACAAUCACCUUUUCCAGUCUGAGAUUAGUGAGUUAAACAUGUGAAUCAAUAGAUUACUCUUAGGCACUUGUCUGUGCUGGCACAUUAUACCUGCUGAGUUGGAUUUCAAAGACCAUAACAGUGGAUGGAAAGAGCUUUGCAGGAUGCAUCAGGGACCACAGCAGCAUUGAACAACAAGGUGGUUUUGUGCCAAAACAUGGUGUGAUCAAGCAUCUAAAGCACAUUUUACCAACCCUAAAAGUCAACUGGCUACACUGACCUGUGAAAGAGUUGCUAUAAAAACAGGCAAUAUAAAUAGUACAAGAACCAAAAAUCCUGACUAGGUUUUGAGAUCUUUUUUUAAUUCAAAAUAUGGGUGUGGAAUCCACCCUAUUUUACAUCUUCAAGAUCUAACACAAAUCUAAUGCUAUGAAUAUAUACAAACAUGAUGUG